AUAUAAUAUUAUGGAUCUUUAUUUUGUUUUGAUGCACAGACAUAUGCAAAUAACUUACAUUAGCAUGUUUAUGAGUGAAAUUUCAAUGGCAAGUUUAUUAAUAAAUCCUUGCAUAGUGUUCAGACUGAUAACAUUAGUUCCCUCUACCCUUUGAUUUGGGCAGCAAAUAAUUUUAUUUUUCUCCCCCUAGUUGUCAACUCUGAAUUGAUGACAGAUUGGAACAAAUAGCACAUGGCUGCAGAAUGCCUAAAGCUACAUUUUGUUGAUAAAUUGCUGGUUCAGAUCCAUUGUGGGUUGGGAAGUGAGCAGUGACCAAAGAUCACAUUGAAAGAUGCCUUACUGGUCUGUGAGAAAUAAGAUCCUAAUGUGCCCUGCAGCACAGGCACUUGGGGAGGGACACAGGCAGGGAGAAACUCAUGAGUAUGCUGUGUUUUACUUUCUCUCUAAAUAUCUUCUGGAAGAUGGCCUUGCUUUCAUUCACAGGCAGGGUUCACGAUGGCAGGGCCUGUGGCAGCAUGUGAUGUGAAACACAGGCUGCAGCGUAGUGGGGGUGUGAAGCUCACAUUAUUUGGCAAUGUGUUGCCUGUGAGAAGAAAAUAGGUACAGAGGCUGAAGCAUCUUUGUAAUCUUGAGCUGCACUGAGUCUGAGGAAAGCAUCCUUUUCCUCUGCAGACAGACUGGGGCCCAGCUGUUGGGAUUCCAGCAAAAAGUACAGGGGGUGCAGGCUGUACUGUCCUGGGAGACAGCAGGGAGUACGAUCUGGGACUGCUCUCACUGAAGGGCACUGCUGGCUGCCAAUGCCAGCCAUGUGCCAGGGAUGGAAGGGAGCAGGAGAGCUCAGGGACAGUGGUGCUGGGUGACUUGUGGUUGAGAGGAAACUGGUAACUAAAGAGAGCUCAGACAGAGCUCAAGCACCUGGACCACCUUUGUUCUUCAGUGUCCUGCUGUUUGUGCCCUUUUUAAAUAUAGACCCUUUGGAGUUUUGAAAAUGCUCUCUAUAACGGUUAAAGUUACAAGGGGAACAUUAUCACAGAUCUUCUAAAUGUGCUUUAAAAGUUUGAAGUUGUUGAGGUGUCCAGCUGAGGUGCUGCAUUAACAAAACCCUUACAGCUCAGGUUCUGUUUGAUAAAGCACUUGUGAGCACAAUUCUCUAACACCAACAGUGCUGGAAAAUAUUUGCAAACGCUUUGUUUGUACAACCUCUAAAUUCCAUAACAGCACAGAUACCCAGUAUAUAGCCUGAUAAGUGUUUCUCAUUCUAAGCUGGUUUCUUUCUUUGCUUGAGUAUGGAUCCCACACCCUGGAGAGAAAGCAGAGUUUACUGUUCAAUUAGAAAAUUUUAUUUUCUUGGGGGCAGCAUUGAUCUCCUGGACUGUUAUGUUAUCUCUCACUGUCUAAUCACAGAAAAUCUGUUGCUUGUACAGCAGGCCCCGACUGAGUGUCUUUUAAAAAGGCAGGAUAUUAUUUCUGUGUGUAGAAGAGGGUUUGGAACAACAGGGGUUUGCGUUUGGCAUCUUGCUGAUUAAACUUCGUCGAAAAAGACAAGUCUGCUUAGCCUAACUAGGAGAUAGAGGAAGGAAAGAGCCAAAGGGCAUUACUUUUUUUUUAUUGCAUAAUUGGACCUGAUUUGAUUCAAAAACAAUGGUGCACAGCUAUGAAUCAGGCAAUAUGCUACUGCCUUGAGCUACUUCUGCUGAUAUUCUGGUCAGAAAGUCAAGAAAGACAAUUAAUCCUCACCUCUGCUAUCUUGCUGUCUGUGGAGCAACUAACCAAAAAAAUAAUUAGCUAACAGUUUCUUACCUGAAACCAAAGUGAGAAUCCAUUUGAGAGUCCCUGUGACAGAUGCAUAAAAAAAAGGUUUGCUGUUCCUGAUUGCUCUAUCAGUCUGGAGAGUACCCAGAUUCCCUACACAGACCCAUGCUGUGGAUUGUUUGGGAGAAUGUCCAAAGGAGUUGGACUUCAGUGAUCUUUGUGGGUCUCUUCCAGCUCAGGAAAUUCUGUGAUUGUGUUUUCAUUCUGCCCCUUCACUUGUCAUCUUUAUUCUAAAGUUCCAGACGUGACCUUGCUUUUAAAUAUUUGAGUGAGUUUAGCCUCACACAGGAUGACAUUUCCCAGAAAAUAUAGCUGGUUAUCAAGAUCCCAGAGCAUAUGUGCUUCCUGGCAGUUGGCUGGUUGCUACUUCAUGGACAUCAAAUAGAAGAGGGGAAGUAGAAAUGACAGUUUGGAGUUUGCAAUUGAUUUGAUCAGUUUGCUCCUAGGGAUGAAGGACUUUAUGAAGAAGUUUGGCAAAACGAGGUUUGGGGAAUUUGAUGAGUGUUUGAGGAAAGUGCUGGCAAGCAGAUGGGCUAACAGCAAUAAAGGGGAACUGACAGUGUAAAUGAGUUAAAAAGAGCUAGGAGUGGGAGCACUGACCACAAAGAUGAGUGUGGACUAGAAAAAUCAGUGUGCUGUCAUCCCAGUGAUCCCUAGUCAGUCUCGUCCCAGGCUGAGAUACAGAUAUGCCAUGUUUUUUUCCUCUAUAAUGAGUUCUGCCAAGAAGACCAAGCAUUUGAAAAGCUUGGGUUUAUUAUAAGUCUAAGCCAGGAAAAUGAACAUGGUAAAACUGAAAUCUUUGGCUGUGGAAGACAAAAUAGGGCUUAAAAAGAGAUUGUGAGUAACUCUUCCCUAUGCUACUUCACGGGAGGUAAGUGCUUUCAGGCUCUGUCUCAUUCAGCUCUCCUGCCAGGUGAAUUUCAGGAGUGUUGGCCAGCUGUGCCUGCUCCCGGGUUCAUGCUGGGGACAUCCUGUGCGGCUGCUCUUAUCCUCAACCCUGCCGGAGGCUGUGCCGAGUUUCGCUCCGCCGCGGGAUAUCCCGGGCGGGAAGGGCCCCGGGAGCGCUUGGCCCAAGCCCCGCGCUCGGGACAGCGUUGCCGUGAGGGCAGGCCUGGAGGCGGCCGGGCUGGGCCCACAGGCCCGGAAAACCAAAGACGGAGCCUGCAGGGCUUCACCGCGAGCUGUCACUUCCCUGUUCCCGCUGGGGAAAGUGCGUGUGGGUGUCCCUGCCCCGGGAACAGCGCAGGGUAUUCUAAUGGAUCACUAGACCUGCAGGAGUGGCCAGGAAGCACCUCUGCCAGCUCAACCUGCCUCUAGGGCUCUUAACUCCAAAUAUUUGAAGGUGGCAAGAAAGUGGGUUCACGGAGCAUUCAAUUCAGUAGAUGAGUAUUCAUUCACUCAGUGAUGUUCUGAAGCAUUUUCUUGUCCAGCCACAUCACAGUUCACAUCAAAACAGAGUACCUAUAUUCACUGCUGAAGCUGAAGAAAUAUCUUCAAAUUGGAAUUCACCAUCAAUGCCCAUAGUACAACAGGGCCAUGUGGAGAGCACCAAUUUUUCACUUUAAUCUGUGCCAUAUACAAACAGGUGAAAGCCAACAGUGAAAACAUCUGGCUUCAGGGACAGAAAUUCUGACUUUUUCUGGGCUUAAACCUAAACCAGAGCGGGCAAGACAAGGUGAAGAUAAAAUCCCAGGGUCCUGACAUCGACUGUCCCUGGUGGUAGCCAGGAGCUCAUCCUCCUUCCUCGUACACAUUCUUCUGAACAAAUCUUGAAAGCAGAGAGCGAGAGGGCAAAGCAGGACAGGUCUCUGCGUUGUAUAAUGGUAUCCUGCACUCGACUUGUACCAGAAGAGUCAUUAAAGAUCAGAAGUGUAUAAACUCAGGAAAUCUCAGAAGAGGGAAGGUAUAAAAUUCUGUUCAGACACAACUCUUCAGACUCCCAGAAAAAAUUAUCAUGUCAUUAAGUUUCUACAGGUGAUAUCCCAGCCUCUUGUACCUACCUAAUGGAGUUUCCUUCUCAGUUUUCUGGAGAGAAAAUGCUGUCCAAAGCUUCAUGCUCUAAAUUCUCUUUGAAGCCAAAAUGCCACCCAGGAGGACCUUGACACAUGAACAAAUAAUAAUACAUAUAUUUCAGUGAGUGGAGAUGGGCAUCUUCAUUUGCAGUAUUGUUCUGAUUCCACUGUGUUAACUAUGGAUAUUUGAGGUUUUACCUGUCCUGACUUGGAGCAAACUGUUUAUUUUAAAAAGAAUUACACUUAAAACCCAGAUUUGGAUCUGUCCAAUCUGUUUUGACUUCAACUCUCUUAAAAGAUAAAUAAAAAUAUCUAGUGCAACAUCACCCUCUCCAAAUUUCUAAACUGUUGAGAUACUUGUGUGGCUAAACAAUGACAAUUUCCUGGAUGUGAGAUGGAAAUUUUAUUUAUACUAGGAAUGUUUUAAUGAGGGAGCGUUUUCAGAACUUUAUUUUUUGAUUGCGACAUUUCUGGUUGGUUAAAUUCUCUGCGUCAUCUAAUUUUUGAAUGAAAGGAUAUCUCUGUCAUUUUUAGAUUAGUGAUAUUUACAAAAUUGUGAUAUAUCUAAAUGCUGUAACACUUCUUGACCACAUCUAGGUGUUGAUGGAAACAGCUCUACAGUGCAGCAAGAAAUGUUUUUCAUCACCUCUAAAAUGACUUUGUCUCAGAAGUAUUGACUUCCAGUCUAAUCACUUUAGAAUGGUCUUCAACUGCACUUGAAUUAUCUGCACAUUUUGCAAUUGCUUAGUCUCUUCCUAUUUUCUCACAGAGAUUUUAUCAUAAUUAUUUCUCUUGUUUUUAUGAUUUUGAAACACUUGAUCUUCUGUAGCUUGCGCUGAUGUUCUCUUUCAGUCUGAAACAGGAAUCUUGAACCCCUAAAUGAUGCUUGUCCUCUCUGUUUACAGUUGCUUUAGUAUGUGUAUAGUUCAUGUUCUGGUUGGGCACUGCCACGGGUACCCUUCCUGACUAGCUCUAGGUGUGCACAUUUGACAGCUGAAAUCGUGCUCUGGUUGACAUUGAUCUCUCCAGCCUGUUAGGCAAGUCUGCUAGAUUCUAGUUUUAGUUUGUAAAUCCUUUCCUGACACUGAGAUCUAGGUCAGUGAUGUCAAACUUCAUUUGGUGACUUAAGUAGGCACCAGUGGCCAUGAGCUACAGUACUGGUGAAAAUUAAACUUAGCACCCCACACUAAAGUGUUCAGUGUAUCUGUCAUACUGUGAGAUAAUUGCUGCUGUUUUCUUUUGUAAUUACUGCACGUAAUUAGAUAUGACAUCAAAGCUCUCUUGAUCUCCAGCUAUUCAAUUUUAAUCACAAGGAGACUCUGUAAUGGUACAUCUCUUUUGGGCACCUAGUGCAAGUGAAAAUAACCUCUUGGAAGUUCAAAUGACAAAAUAUUUUACUCCCAGAUUCCCCAACAAGUGAGGGUCUACACUGUGGUGCUGUACAGGAACUCCUUGUUUUACAGCACCUUUACCAUGACUUUAAUUAAAAGUACAUAUGAAUUAGAGAUGCCUCUAAUUCCAAUUAGAGGUUGGAAUAUGUGAGUGAAUGAGCAGUAGUGGUUUAUACCAAUUUCCCUUGUUUCUUCCCUUAAUACUUUGGUCUGGAAUAUCUGUGGUACAGUGUGCCAAUUUUUUUUCUGUCUCCUAAACAUAUGAAUAUUCAGUCCAAGAUUGUCUGCUACAUGUCUGGUGCUUCUUCUAACACAUUUCCUUUGGG